CAACAAUAUUAAUUAAGGACAAGAAGACCCUAAGAAUUUUAAAAACUAUAGUUGUAAAAUUAUUAAUUAUAGUUUUUUAAUUGGGGCGAUUGAUAAACAUAGAAAACUUUAUUUAUAAUAAAAAAUGAACCAGUAUUAUUGGUUUGAUGAAUAAAAAUACUCUAGGGAUAACAGCGUAAUAAUUUUUAAUAGCUCUUAUUGACAAAAUAGUUUGCGACCUCGAUGUUGGAUUAGGAUUCUUUUUUGAUGAAGAAGUCAAAAG
rnacentral:rRNA from 1 species